AAAGAAAAAUUAUCCCAGGCAUGGCUCCGACUUGUGAGGCUGAGCAGGAAGACCGGAAGUUUAAGACCUAACUAAACUCUACUCUAAGACCUAUCUAAAGCAAGUUUAUGCCUGCCUGGGAGCCCAAAUGAGACCCUCAAGAAAAGAGGCUGUAGGGUACGGGGGAGUUUCACAAUGGCAGUGUGCUUGCCUAGUACAUGUAAGAUUCUGAGCCUGACCCUCAGCACCUCAAAAAGAAGUUAUACAGAACUUGUCUUUCACAGACUAAGAUGUUUAAAUUGACCUUCCGCCCAGAUCCUUUAACCUUUGUACAGUUUGUCCUACCCCUGGAACGUGCUUAGCAUUUUUUUGUCAUUCUCUCGAAUCUUCUGUGAAGGUCAGUUUUACAUUCAUUUCAACCUUUGUUUUCUUCCCGAUCAAAAUAUUUGCUUUGGCUGUGCUGUGCGCGAGAGUUCCCAGAAACAUUUCCUUCAGCUGUUGAGAUGGCUUCUGUGGUUGCCCUGUGGAAUGCAGCUCUCACCCCUCCAUGAUACUUGCCAUACACAAGUAGAGGAAGUGUUACCAGAAGAAGAGGAAAUUUUACAGUUGGAAGAAAUGAUACAGAAAGCUCCUGUUUUUACAGAAUUGAAAGAAUGACAGCAAGACUAAGAGGGAACGCUGAGCCACAAGGAACGGCAGAACUCAAACCGAGAGGCCCAUGACAAAAGAACCAAGGGGAAACGCUGUCUCGGCUAAGAACCGAUCCAUUCCAGACUUCAAUUAAACAACCAGGGGACUGGA
rnacentral:sRNA from 1 species